rnacentral:rRNA from 1 species
UACGGGGGGGGCAAGCGUUGUUCGGAAUUACUGGGCGUAAAGGGCUCGUAGGUGGCCAACUAAGUCAGACGUGAAAUCCCUCGGCUUAACCGGGGAACUGCGUCUGAUACUGGAUGGCUUGAGUUUGGGAGAGGGACGCGGAAUUCCAGGUGUAGCGGUGAAAUGCGUAGAUAUCGGGAGGAACACCAGUGGCGAAGGCGGCGACCUGGACAGAUAUUGACGCUGAGGUGCGAAAGCGUGGGGAGCAAACAGG